rnacentral:rRNA from 1 species
AUACGGAGGAUCCGAGCGUUAUCCGGAUUUAUUGGGUUUAAAGGGAGCGUAGGUGGAUUGUUAAGUCAGUUGUGAAAGUUUGCGGCUCAACCGUAAAAUUGCAGUUGAAACUGGCAGUCUUGAGUACAGUAGAGGUGGGCGGAAUUCGUGGUGUAGCGGUGGAAUGCUUAGAUAUCACGAAGAACUCCGAUUGCGAAGGCAGCUCACUAGACUGUUACUGACACUGAUGCUCGAAAGUGUGGGUAUCAAACAGGAUUAGAUACCCUGGUAGUCCACACAGUAAACGAUGAAUACUCGCUGUUUGGGAUAUACAGUAAGCGGCCAAGCGAAAGCAUUAAGUAUUCCACCUGGGGAGUACGCCGGCAACGGUGAAACUCAAAGGAAUUGACGGGG